UACAGGGGGGGCAAGCGUUGUUCGGAAUUACUGGGCGUAAAGGGCUCGUAGGUGGCCAACUAAGUCAGACGUGAAAUCCCUCAGCUUAACUGGGGAACUGCGUCUGAUACUGGAUGGCUUGAGUUUGGGAGAGGGAUGCGGAAUUCCAGGUGUAGCGGUGAAAUGCGUAGAUAUCUGGAGGAACACCGGUGGCGAAGGCGGCUCUCUGGAACGCAACUGACGCUGAGACGCGAAAGCGUGGGGAGCAAACAGG
rnacentral:rRNA from 1 species